rnacentral:rRNA from 1 species
GACGAAAGUCUGACGAGAGCAACGCCGCGUGAGUGAUGAAAGGUGUUCCGGAUCGUAAAACUCUGUUGUCAGGGAAGAACAAGUGCCGUUCAAAUAGGGCGGCACCUUGAACGGUACCUAGACCAAGAAAGCCCCGGCUAACUACGUGCCAGCAGCCGCGGUAAUACGGUAGGGGGCAAGCGUUGUCCGGAAUUAUUCGGGCGGAAAAGCGCGCGCAGGCGGUCCUUUAAGUCUUGAUGUGAAAGCCCACGGCUUAACCGUGGAGGGCCAUUGGAAACUGGAGGACUUGAGUACAGAAGAGGAGAGUGGAAAUCCCACGUGUAGCGGUGAAAUGCGUAAGAGAUGUGGAGGAACACCAGGUGGCGAAGGCGACUCUCUUGGUCUGUAACUGACGCUGAGGUGCGAAAGCGUGGGGAGCGGAACAGGAUUAGAUACCCUGGUAGUCCACGCCGUAAACGAUGAGUGCUAGGUGUUAGGGGGUUUCCGCCCCUUAGUGCUGAAGUUAACGCAUUAAGCACUCCGCCUGGGGAGUACGGCCGCAAGGCUGAAACUCAAAGAAUUGACGGGGGCCCGCACAAGCGGUGGAGCAUGUGGUUUAAUUCGAAGCAACGCGAAGAACCUUACCAGGUCUUGACAUCCUCUGCCAAUCCUAGAGAUAGGAUGUUCCCUUCGGGGACAGAGUGACAGGUGGUGCAUGGUUGUCGUCAGCUCGUGUCGUGAGAUGUUGGGUUAAGUCCCGCAACGAGCGCAACCCUUGAUCUUAGUUGCCAGCAUUUAGUUGGGCACUCUAAGGUGACUGCCGGUGACAAACCGGAGGAANGUGGGGAUGACGUCAAUCAUCAUGCCCCUUAUGACCUGNGCUACACACGUGCUACAAUGGAUUGGAACAAANGGCAGCGAAGCCGUGAGGUCAGCAAAUCCCAUAAAACCCAUUCUCAGUUCGGAUUGCAGGCUGCAACUCGCCCUGCAUGAA